AUGAACGCUGGCGGCGUGCCUAAUACCUGCAAGUCGCGCGCACGGACGAGAAGCUUGCUUCUCUGAUGUUAGCGGCGGACGGGUGAGUAACACGUGGAUAACCUACCUAUAAGACUGGGAUAACUUCGGGAAACCGGAGCUAAUACCGGAUAAUAUUAUGAACCGCAUGGUUCAAAAGUGAAAGACGGUCUUGCUGUCACUUAUAGAUGGAUCCGCGCUGCAUUAGCUAGUUGGUAAGGUAACGGCUUACCAAGGCAACGAUGCAUAGCCGACCUGAGAGGGUGAUCGGCCACACUGGAACUGAGACACGGUCCAGACUCCUACGGGAGGCAGCAGUAGGGAAUCUUCCGCAAUGGGCGAAAGCCUGACGGAGCAACGCCGCGUGAGUGAUGAAGGUCUUCGGAUCGUAAAACUCUGUUAUUAGGGAAGAACAUAUGUGUAAGUAACUGUGCACAUCUUGACGGUACCUAAUCAGAAAGCCACGGCUAACUACGUG
rnacentral:rRNA from 1 species